rnacentral:tRNA from 1 species
UUUUUAUUAACUUUAAAAAAAUAAUGUUUUUUUCUUCUCUUUGGUAUUUAAAUUAUAUUAUUUUAUC